GAUCCUGGCUCAGGACGAACGCUGGCGGCGUGCUUAACACAUGCAAGUCGAACGAGAGGACAAGAGAAGCUUGCUUCUUUUGGAAUCGAGUGGCAAACGGGUGAGUAACACGUAAACAACCUGCCUUCAGGAUGGGGACAACAGACGGAAACGACUGCUAAUACCGAAUACGCUUGGAAGACCGCAUGAUUUUCCAAGGAAAGGGUGGCCUCUACCUGUAAGCUAUCGCCUGAAGAGGGGUUUGCGU
rnacentral:rRNA from 1 species